rnacentral:tRNA from 1 species
UCCCCAGUGGCUUAGUGGUAAAGAAACUGCCUGCAAUGCAGGAGACGUGGGUUCAAUCCCUGGGUUGGGAA